rnacentral:rRNA from 1 species
GACGUAGGGCGCGAGCGUUGUCCGGAUUUAUUGGGCGUAAAGAGCUCGUAGGCGGCUUGUCGCGUCGAAUGUGAAAUCUCAGGGCUCAACUCUGACAUUGCAUUCGAUACGGGCAGGCUAGAGUUCGGUAGGGGAGACUGGAAUUCCUGGUGUAGCGGUGAAAUGCGCAGAUAUCAGGAGGAACACCGGUGGCGAAGGCAGCUCUCUGGGACGGUACUGACGCUGAGACGCGAAAGCGUGGGGAGCGAACAGG